UAACAUAUGCGGCUCGGCCCCUCUCGGGGUGAGAUGGUAAGAAGAUUACUUGGUUUAUCCGGGGGGGCGGUUAGUAGAAUGCCGCCAUCUUAGCCCUUCCGGUUUGCUAGC
rnacentral:sRNA from 1 species